rnacentral:rRNA from 1 species
GACGAGGUGCACAAACGUUAUUCGGAAUUACUGGGCGUAAAGCGCGCGCAGGCGGAUUGUUAAGUAGGGCGUGAAAUCUCCCGGCCUAACUGGGAGGGGUCGCCCUAAACUGGCAGUCUUGAGGACAGCAGAGGUAGGUGGAAUUCCUGGUGUAGUGGUGAAAUGCGUAGAGAUCAGGAGGAACACCGGUGGCGAAGGCGGCCUACUGGGCUGUCUCUGACGCUGAGGCGCGAAAGCUCGGGGAGCGAACGGG